GAUGAACGCUAGCGGCAGGCCUAACACAUGCAAGUCGAGGGGUAGCAGGAUUAAGCUUGCUUAAUUGCUGACGACCGGCGCACGGGUGCGUAACGCGUAUGCAACCUACCUUAUACUGGGGUAUAGCCCGGAGAAAUUCGGAUUAAUCCCCCAUAGUACUAAUGAAUCGCAUGGUUUAUUAGUUAAAGCAUUGCGGUAUAAGAUGGGCAUGCGUCCUAUUAGCUAGAUGGUGAGGUAACGGCUCACCAUGGCUACGAUAGGUAGGGGGCCUGAGAGGGUGGUCCCCCACACUGGUAAUGAGACACCGACCAGACUCCUACGGGAGGCAGCAGUGAGGAAUAUUGGUCAAUGGGCGCAAGCCUGAACCAGCCAUGCCGCGUGCAGGAAGAAUGCCCCAUGGGUUGUAAACUGCUUUUAUUUGGGAAUAAACCUCUUUACGUGUAGAGAGCUGAAGGUACCAAAUGAAUAAGCACCGGCUAACUCCGUGCCAGCAGCCGCAGUAA
rnacentral:rRNA from 1 species